UACAGAGGUCCCAAGCGUUGUUCGGAUUCACUGGGCGUAAAGGGUGCGUAGGUAGCUUGGUAAGUUUGAUGUGAAAUCUCCGGGCUUAACCCGGAAAUGGCAUUGAAUACUAUUGAGCUGGAGGUUUGGAGGGGGGACUGGAAUUCUCGGUGUAGCAGUGAAAUGCGUAGAUAUCGAGAGGAACACCAGUGGCGAAGGCGAGUCCCUGGACAACACCUGACACUGAGGCACGAAAGCUAGGGGAGCAAACAGG
rnacentral:rRNA from 1 species